rnacentral:tRNA from 1 species
CACCAGAUAGCUGACUGGGAAGAGCACCUGACUAGAGAUUCAGGGGGCCUGGGUUUGAAACCAAGUCUGGUAU